rnacentral:rRNA from 1 species
UACGAAGGGGGCUAGCCGUUGUUCGGAAUCACUGGGCGUAAAGAGCGUGUUAGGCGGCCAAGUAGGUCCGGUGUGAAACUCGAGGCUUAACCUCGAGAUGUCAUCGGAAACCAUUUGGCUAGAGUCCGGAAGAGGAAAGUGGAAUUCCUGGUCGUAGCGGGUGAAAUUGCGCAGAUAUCAGGAAGAACACCCGUGGCGAAGGCGGGUAGCUGGGCCGACACUGACGCUAGAUGCGCGAAAGCCAGGGGAGCGAAACGGGG